GAUGAACGCUGGCGGCGUGCUUAACACAUGCAAGUCGAACGAAGCACUUUAUUUGAUUUCCUUCGGGACUGAUUAUUUUGUGACUGAGUGGCGGACGGGUGAGUAACGCGUGGGUAACCUGCCUUGUACAGGGGGAUAACAGUUGGAAACGGCUGCUAAUACCGCAUAAGCGCACGGCAUCGCAUGAUGCAGUGUGAAAAAGUCCGGUGGUAUAAGAUGGACCCGCGUUGGAUUAGCUAGUUGGUGAGGUAACGGCCCACCAAGGCGACGAUCCAUAGCCGACCGGAGAGGGUGACCGGCCACAUUGGGACUGAGACACGGCCCAAACUCCUACGGGAGGCAGCAGUAGGGAAUAUUGCACAAUGGGCGAAAGCCUGAUGCAGCGACGCCGCGUGAGCGAAGAAGUAUUUCGGUAUGUAAAGCUCUAUCAGCAGGGAAGAUAAUGACGGUACCUGACUAAGAAGCACCGGCUAAAUACGUG
rnacentral:rRNA from 1 species